rnacentral:lncRNA from 1 species
AGAGUGGCUCUGAUACCACUGUUGGGUUUCGAUGACACAGCGGAAUAUAGAUUUAAAAAUUUUUUAACAUGCAUACAAUAAUGAAAACUAAGUUUAACAAUUAAACUCAUCCAUCGAAACUCAAAAACUCAAAGAACCCCUUGAUGAUUACAAUCAAAUCACAAAAUCAAGCAUAUGAGGAGAAGACCAAAAGUCAUAUACCACCAUGAAGAUCAUGAACUGAUGAUUUUGAAAUCUAUGUAAGACUCCAAAGCAGAAGCCUUCCAAUGGUGAUCCACACAGGAUUGAUCAGGAUCCUUUUCAACUCGUCAUGGUGCUGCAGUUUUCUUUCUAAGUGUGCUACCGAUUGUCCUUCACAAGAACACAAUGCACCAUUACUUGUAUGCCUUUAUGACCUCCACUAAGAUCACUCUAGAAACUCUUUCUCAAAGUAUCAAACCACACUCUAAUCAGAUUUUAUGUUCAACACAUGAACAAUCUGAUUUUAAGAUAAGUAUUUUAUAUUUUUCUUUUUUCUUCCUCUCUUUCUUUCUAUUUUUCUCUCCCUUUCUCUUUCUAUUUUCAUUUCAGAUUUUUACCACGUCAUCCUCAUCUAAUCCCACAUCCAAAAUUAUUUUUGGAUGGAUUUUAUGCCAUAUGAGGCACCCCUCAAAUAAGGGAUGAAGGGUGCCACACAAGACAUCAAGGGGUGCCAACUCUUGGCAUCCCAACUCCCUAACACGGUAAAAGAUAUUUUUUUCAGCAUGGAAACCCUAGUGUUAGGCAUAGAAUAAGAGGUGUUUCAUCUGCAGAAGGACUCCUCCUCUGUUAGAAAAAAUCUGAAUGCCAUAAAAUGGCGCGUGGAAUAAAAGGAGAAAUAAAUUGGCACAAACACAUCCCAUGUGUCGUCCUUUUGUUUUCAUAAAGAAUAAAUUUUUUAUAUAGAAACUCUAGGUGUGGAAGAGCCUUCAAGCAGAAGGACUCCCCUACUUCUGUGCCAACAAUUAUCCAGAACCAUCAUAUGGCAUGUGGAGGGAAGAAAAAAUGCAUGGAAUAAAAGAGGAAUAAAGAGUCCCAUGAGAAAUGGACUCUGCAUUUCUCAACGCCAUAAAUGGGGCAUCCCAACUCAAUUUUGGCAUGGAGUUCCUUCCAAAAGAAGACUCCCUCUCCUCUUCCACGUCCCACAUCUCAAGACACCAUCUGAUGGUGCACAAAAUUAAUGGGAUGUGUGGAACAUGUAAUGAUUUUAAGAGGAGUAAGAAAGGACUCUCCUUUUUAAUACCAAAAAUAAUUGUGAUGCCACCCAUUAUUAUGCAUGUGGUUUGAUGUGGAGGAGGUUGAUUCCAUGUGAAAUACUUUCUCAAAAUCAGAUAAAAUCAACUAAUAAAUUAGAUGGUUCAAACCUAAUCACAUUAGGUCAAGACAACAAGACUAGGUCAGUAUAAAUACCUUUGCACUGAACUCAAUUGGGAACUUGGGUCAAUUAAUAUGCCAGCAAUUUAAUUAACCCAUUAAAUUUAUAAUAAAUUUAAAUUAAUUGGAUCAAAAUUAAAUCUCUAUUGUAUAUGAUCCAUUGGAUUUUAAAUCUAGCCAACAGUGGAUCCAAACUCUCGAUGAAAUCCU